AACGGGGGGAACUAGCGUUAUUCGUCGUGACUGGGCGUAAAGGGUAUGUAGAUGGCAUUUUUAGAAAAGGGUGAAAGAGCAGAAGGUCCGUUUCUAAUCCGCCCUUGCAACUAAUUUGCUAGAGUUUGGUAUAGGGUUGAGGUAUCUUUGGGGACUAAUGAUGAAAUGUGUGUAGUCCGACUAGUGACCGCCAACGGGCGAAGGCGUUAACCUAGAUCAUUCUGACAUUGAGGUACUAAAGCAUGCUGGUAGCAAACGGG
rnacentral:rRNA from 1 species